rnacentral:rRNA from 1 species
GACGAACGCUGGCGGCGUGCCUAAUACAUGCAAGUCGAACGCAGUGGGGACGGGUGAGUAACACGUGGGUAACCUCCCAUCAGAGGGGAUAACACUUGGAAACAGGUGCUAAACCGAUACUGAUGGAUGGACCCGCGGUGCAUUAGCUAGUUGGUGCGGUAACGGCUCACCAAGGCCACGAUGCAUAGCCGACCUGAUAGAGUGAUAGGCAACACGGAGGCUGGUACACGGCCCGUACUCCUAGGGAAGGCAGCAGUAGGGAAUCUGCGGCAAUGGACGAAAGUCUGACCGAGCAACGCCGCGUGAGUGAAGAGGGUUUUCGGAUCGUAAAACUCUGUUGUUAGAGAAGCGGUAGCUAACCAGAAAGCCACGGCUAACGACGUGCCAGCAGCCGCGGUAAUUC